rnacentral:rRNA from 1 species
AUUGAACGCUGGCGGCAGGCCUAACACAUGCAAGUCGAACGAGUGGCGGACGGGUGAGUCAUGUCUGGGAAACUGCCUGAUGGCGGGGGAUAACUACUGGAAACGGUAGCUAAUACCGCAUCCCAUCAGAUGUGCCCUGAUGGGAUUAGCUUGUUGGUGGGGUAACGGCUCACCAAGGCGACGAUCCCUAGCUGGUCUGCGAGGAUGACCAGCCACACUGGAACUGAGACACGGUCCAGACUCCUACGGGAGGCAGCAGGGGGGAAUAUGGCACAAUGGGCGAAAGCCGGAUGCAGCCAGGCCGCGUGGAUGAAGAAGGCCUUCGGGUUGUAAAGUACUUUCAGCGGGGAGGCGUUACCCGCAGAAGAAGCACCGGCUAACUCCGUGCCAGCCGCCGCGGUAAUUC